rnacentral:rRNA from 1 species
AGUUAGGAAAUGUAGAUACGCUAAUACCGUAUCUAUUUGACAAAGGCUCCAAAGGAAGCCACGGCUAACUCUGUGCCAGCAGCCGCGGUAAUACAGAGGUGGCAAGCGUUGUUCGGAAUUAUUGGGCGUAAAGAGCACGUGGGUGGAUUUGUAAGUCAGAUGUGAAAGCCUUCUGUUCAACGGAAGAAUUGCAUCUGAAACUACAAACCUUGAGUAUAGGAGGGGAGAGUGGAACUUCUGGU